UGGGGAAUAUUGCACAAUGGGCGCAAGCCUGAUGCAGCAACGCCGCGUGAACGAUGAAGGUCUUCGGAUCGUAAAGUUCUGUUGCAGGGGAAGAUAAUGACGGUACCAUAGGAGGAAGCCCCGGCUAACUACGUGCCAGCAGCCGCGGUAAUACGUAGGGGGCAAGCGUUGUCCGGAAUCACUGGGCGUAAAGGGUUCGCAGGCGGAAAUGCAAGUCAGUUGUGAAAGGCAGAGGCUCAACCUCUGUAAGCAAUUGAAACUGUAUUUCUUGAGAUGUGGAGAGGCAAGUGGAAUUCCUAGUGUAGCGAUGAAAUGCGUAGAUAUUAGGAAGAAUACCGGUGGCGAAGGCGACUUGCUGGACACAAACUGACGCUGAGGAACGAAAGCGUGGGUAGCAAACAGG
rnacentral:rRNA from 1 species